AUGCACGUGAGUGCACGGAUAUCGGUUAAUUAUUCAAAUUACUGAAAAACACGGAGAAAACCGCAACCGCAUCGUCAUGUGUUUUUUUUUUUUUAGAUGUAUGCAAACAGGGAAAAUAUCGCCAAACCAACAAUUCAUUUUACCUCAGAAUAUGCACAGAUUGGAUGCAUUGUGUGUUGUAAGCUUUUCGUGGCGCUAGAUGUCAGACAGAUGCAAAUAGCAAAUACAUACGAAAGUGUAAAACGUGUAUGGCGAACAUUUGUUUUUCUGUCAUUAUAGAUGCUAGUUUGGUGAAAGUACACACUGUGUGCUUCAAAUCAUUCAGAAGAGAUGCUGUUUUUAGGGCAGUUUAUUAAAGAAGACCUGACAUGGAUGACUUCCAUUGAGAAACGACUGCUAAUACUUAUAUAAAUUCAUUACAGAAGGACCCUACCAGACUAUAUUUGAAUACGGCAUACCCAUGAAUUCUGGAACUGUUAUUCCUUAACCCAGUUUGGAGGAUAAGAGCUUACCAACUAGUUAUAAAUAUGCUGAGGUGAUGUAUUGCAAAAUAGCCAACAUACAACAAUUAAAGGAUAAUUGCAGACUAUAUCCUGAUGAAGAUAUGGAUGACCCUCUGUCUGGUCAACAGGAGUUUAAAUAUGGAUGGGACAGUGAUGUGGCAGCUCUUCCCUGGCUCAUUCACCUCUUGCCUUCAUUUGUGAAAGGAAGAAAGACUGGAGAGGGUCAAUGUGCAACUGAAGCUACUGAUUGUGCUGUGUGAUGAGCAUCAAUCCAUGCUUUGAGGUGGAUGGAUCAGCACAGCUCUGCCUGCUCUGCGUUGGGAACAGAAGUUGCAUCCAGAAUUUUUGCAUCAUUCUGGACCAAAAAGCCAUUCCCUGCAUGAUGAAGACCACUGAUGCAGCCUUCCACUACAUCAUGAGUAAAACAACUACAGAACUUAAUACCAGGUUGGAACGUAUUUAAGAAAAAUGAAACGUCUUUUGAAUUGAAAUGUCUUUUUUGUUAUGGAAAAAUCUUUAGUAUUGUGAAGGAUAACAUUUCUGCUUGCCAGUAAGGUAAUUGCAGUGUAUUGUAAUGUUCAAGUUUUGAGUAGGGUGGCUAAUUUUUUUUAACUCUCAUUUGAUAUAUUAAAGACCUUAUAUUAUGUGGUUUUCAUGUCACUGCGCUGUGGUGUAAGAUAACUUUCAUUAUUCCAUACUGUAUUCUGUUUCUAAUUGUAGCUGAGGUAUUUAAAUAAGCAGUGUUAAAUGCAAAGUGUUGUGUGUAUUAAUGUAAAUAUUAAAUGUGAUGUACAUUAAUAAAAAGAGGUUUUGCAAUAUUUCUUGUCAUUUGUCUUUUAUAGAAACAACCCAUUAGCAACAAAAGUGGCUAUUAAUCAGUUUUUUAACACUUAACAUUGUUGAAUUCACAUU